rfam:Caenorhabditis japonica strain DF5081 Contig7731.1, whole genome shotgun sequence.
CAACCUGAACUCAGUCGUGAUUACCCGCUGAACUUAAGCAUAUCAUUUAGCGGAGGAAAAAGAAACUAAAAAGGAUUCCCCUAGUAACGGCGAGUGAAACGGGAAGAGCCCAGCGCCGAAUCGAUCAGUCUUUGGCUGCUUCGAAAUGUGGCGUAUAGGUGUAGUCUUCCAGCAGUGUCGUAUGUCCGAAGUCCUUGCGAUUGAGGCCAUAAACCAGAGAGGGUGCGAGCCCCGUUCUGGAUAGCGGCGCUGUUGGUUCGACUGCUCCUUGGAGUCGGGUUGCUUGAAAGUGCAGCCUAAAGUGGGUGAUAAACUUCAUCUAAGGCUAAAUAUUGACUCGAUUGCGAUAGCGAACAAGUACCGUGAGGGAAAGUUGCGAAAGGACUUUGAAGAGAGAGUUCAAGAGAACGUGAAAUCGCUGGAGUGGAACCGGAGACAGUUGAUGUUGCUUGGAGACAAUCUUGGUGGCUGAUCGCUUAGCUGUGAUCGCCGCCGGGAGUCGUUUCCUAUGCUACGCCGACGGCGUUGGUCGCUCGUUCUGGCCCGACAGUGUUGCCCAUCUCGCAAGAGACGGUGUCUUGUUGUCGGUCGUUGGUUCGUGGUGGCUAGCGUUUAGUUACGCUAGUGUGUGUGACGUCGGUGUGAAAGUCGACGACGUUUCCGACCCGUCUUGAAACACGGAUUACGGAGUGUUUGUCUGCUGCGAGUCAAAGGGUGUAAAAACCUUGCGGCGCAAUGAAAGUGAAGGUUAGUCUCGAACUGACCGACGUGGGAUCCGUGCUCUUCGGAGUGCGGCGCACCACGGCCCUAUGCGUGUCACUUGUGACUGUGUAGAGGUUGAGCAGUAGGCAAGCGACCCGAAAGAUGGUGAACUAUGCCUGAGCAGGAUGAAGCCAGAGGAAACUCUGGUGGAAGUCCGUAUCGGUUCUGACGUGCAAAUCGAUCGAUAGACUUGGGUAUAGGGGCGAAAGACUAAUCGAACCAUCUAGUAGCUGGUUCCUUCCGAAGUUUCCCUCAGGAUAGCUGGAACUCUUGCAGUUAUAUUCGGUAAAGCUAAUGAUUAGAGGCCUUGGGGACGUAAUGUCCUCAACCUAUUCUCAAACUUUCAAUGGAUAUGGCGUCGCAGUUUCUUUAGUGAACUGCGGCGUGAAUGCGAGUUCCAAGUGGGCCAUUUUUGGUAAGCAGAACUGGCGCUGUGGGAUGAACCAAACGUGGAGUUAAGGUGCCUAACUUCUC